AUGAUUUCCACGGUGUCAUCUUGCCUUUUCAGUGGGAGACUGCCAGCUCUUCCACAAAACAAGCAGAGCCCAGCAACACUUGAGUUGCUCUCCCUCUACAAUCCAAAGAAAGCUGCCACUGUAAAACUUCAACAGCUUUGGAGUUACAAGGCUUGCCUUGUUCAACCACAGGUCUCAACAUCCUUAACAGAUCUGCUUCUCCCAUCCACUCCAAACACUCCUCAUUCCUCUGAUGCGCUCCCCUCCUUCCCAAUCUUUUGCUCUGGACUAAGGAGGUGGAGGAAGAGGUUUUACACUGGUACAAACACAUCCCUGGAGACUCCUCCACUGCUCCCAGUGGCCAGGAGUGACUUGGAUGGAGGAGAAAACGUGAGCCUGGCUCUUCCUGGCACCUGGGACUGUUCUGGCCUUUGGAAGGAGCAGUGUGAGGAGCUGCUGACUUGCAGAGGAAACUCUGGAAGAACCAGUGGCCAGGAGAAGAAGACUCGGGCAGCUUUGCUUUGCAUUCCCAUUCCCAGCCUCUGGAGAGUGCAGGUGGGUGCAGAACUUGGGAAGGGGACAAGAGCUGCCUCUGGUAGUUUCCCUGCCAUAAAAAUUCCUGCUGCUCCUGGCUGAGUGCACAAGAGGUUUCCCUUGAUGCUUUGUUUAAGGUAAGGAAUGAUCCAGAUUCACAUCAACAGGGCUGGUGGAAGGGUGUUCUGAAGGAUCUGCCUCUUCAUGUUUGAAAUUUCCCAACCUUCCAGCUGCAAGUGGGGGGGAAGCCAAAACUAAACUCCUGCUGAAGGGAUAUAUUUAAUUUAGAACAAGCACUUACACCCUGCAAAUUUGCAUUUGGAGUCCCACAGCCCCUUCAUUGACAUUUUUUUCUGAGUUUCUCAGAAAAAACACCAAGCUCCUCCCCAGGCAAGCAGGACAGGGAAGACAACACAGCACACACAGGUGAUUUCUGAGCAUAAAUGGUGCUGUGCAGUCGUAACCACCAGUGAUGCCAGCCCUCAGGAAAUGCCAGAGCAGGGGGCAGCACCCAGGACCCUCACUGCUCUGUCUCUGCACACACAGGUUACGAGCUGUAGGUAAAUUACUCCUCUGCCAGACACCCAGCAGCUCACUGGGGUUCUCGUCUCUUCCCCUGGUCUGGGUGCAGCUCCCAAAAUCCCUGACUUGUAGCUACAACUGCUUGGAGCUGCUUUUUGUUCAUCCUGGAGCGUUUUUCUAAGUGCUGGUUUAACAUCUCCCCCUAGAAGGGAUAAAAUGUGUUUCUCGUAGAUCAGUGCAUUUCUGAACGUUCCUAAAGUUACAUCUCUGUAGGGAGAUGCCCAAGAGGCUGCAAAAGUUCUUCUUCUAAACAAGAUUCCACAAAGAUUUUUAUUUUUUUUUUUUCUUCCAGUGCUCUCUUUUAUUCAGAGUAACUUCAGUUUCGUGUUUGUUUUUUGUUUUGGGGAGGGUGGGAGUGUGGAUUUUUUUUUGUUUACAACUUUGAGAGAGGAAUUUUCUCCCACACAACAGCAGCCAAGUCAGGCCCAGAACCUUGCCACUGCAGGUAAGUGUCACAUAGCCCUUUUGUGAAUUUACUGAGCCAGUCAGCAAGUUCAGCUAAAGGCCUUCCAUGGUGCCCUCUGCAUCCCCCUCCGAGACCUGAAGGCACAAAUGGAUCCAGCAAAUCCUGUGCAUGUUAAAUUCUUUCUGCCAUUUCCUGCCAGACACUUCAGUUUACUUGAAGUUGAUGUUUUUGGGGUGGUCUUGUGGUGGGAAUUUUGAUGACAGCCUCGAGGUGCAUGAAUGACAGGGAAGGAGAGCAGCAGAAUUCCAGAAAUAUUGUCACCACCUAAGGAUCUUGAUAAAGAGACCUUUUUUUUUUGUUUGUUUUUAAGUCAUUACAGGUGAGAUGGAGAAGCUGCACAGACAAAUCCCUGGAACCCAAGGAAUUAAUCAGAAGGUGAGGCUACACCACACUGUCAAUGCAACAAGCACCCAAGCCUUGAUUACAGCCUGCCAUCAAGAGAACCACAGAAUCUGGACAAAAAAAUAAAAAAAUAUUACAAGAGGCUUAGCA
ensembl:lncRNA